AUUUUUUGUUGGGAAGAGGAACUCACUUGAGCCUGUAGGAAGUUGAUCCCUUCACAUCCCCCUUCUUAUCUUCUCUUCUUCUUUUCUUCUUUUCUUCUCCUCUCUCUCUCUCUCUCCAAAUUACUGUUCAUGGGUAUCACUCCAAUCCUUCUUUCUCAGUUUCUCUUCUAAUUCAGAUUCAGAUUUGCAGGUCAAGUAGCACUAUAUAGCAAAUCAGCAGGUCAA